GGUCGAAGUCAAUUAGCACAGCCAUAGAUAGCGAUUGGCUGGAUGUGAGCAUGUGAUUGAAGCCGGUCCAAUCAGGGCAAAUCUCAGACUAUUCACGGGAAGCUUGGACACAAGCUCCAGUUUUUUUGUUGUUGUUGUUCAAUUUAAACCCGGAAGGAUGUAGUGCGGGGAAUCGCUGCAGCCAUCUUGAAAAUAUGUGGGAAGAGCCUCAAGAACGGAGUCAGCACAAGUACGUGAGGCUGGAGAUGGGGGACGACGUGCUGCUGGUGCGAGACCCUCAUACUGUUCAGUUACAUGAACGCUGAACUCCUCUUCCCUUUGGUUAAAGUUUCAGGUGUUCACUGGGGACUUGGAACGCAUCCCCACAUGUAAGAGGGACUCCUGUACUCAACUGCUAGUUGCACCUUUGAAGAGUGGAGUGUGUCCUUUCUCGUUACUCCUUCUGUGGAUGGAGUGCAGAUGUGUGGGGCGCUAUCUUGGACACUUGGGUUUGUGGGGUCACUGUUCACACUGACCUCUCUUAGAUACUCAGGGUUCACCACCUGGAAUAUUGUGGGUCACCACAGCAGGAAGAGGAGAAGAGGAAGAAUCGCUUAGCAGCUCUCGAAUGCUUCUGCCUAACGAUGAGGAAGCCGAGACCCAGAGUAACAAGUAGCAAAUGGCAGAAGCAGGAUAUGAAAUCUGGAUAACAGGUUUGGUGUGGUGCCUGAAAAUUGGAUGCUGAUACUGCUGGAUCAGGGAGCACACUUUGAGAACCACUAUGUUAAGCGUCGUGCCCAAGGCCACAAACCCAGCAGUCUGACUCCACAGCACCAACCCUCAACUACUAGCAAAUAAAUAGUCUUCUAAAAGUUCGGUUUUAUAGCUUCAAAUACUGUAAAACUCAUCAUUAUCCAGGGAAGGGAAUUUGGUAGUGAGAAUGUUGGGAUCUCAGUACUACAUGUAGGAGGAGUAAUAAGUGUCUCAUCAUGCACAGAGCUUUCUUGUCCUGCCAGUGGUCCAAUUCAGGUUCUCUGAGGCCUGCGACACAGGUUAGCUGGACAUCUGUGCUUGACUUAUGGCUGGUAGACAUAGGUUAUGCUCAUGGAGAGGUGUGAAAGUGGUUGGUGAUGCUGGGGAGGCCUUUUCUCCUUCAGAAAUCAAGUGAGAAAAGUUACCCCAUGCAUUUGCCUGUGUCUGAAGGCCCUGCAGGUGCCUGAAUCUUUGUGGCUGUGCUACUCAGCCCUUUCCCCAGGGCCAUGCAGCAGAAGGAAAGGCCAUUUGUCUGGAGAAGGCACAGGAGAGAGUUCAUAGGAUGCUUCCCCAGCUCCUGUCAGUCAGGGUUUCCCUUUAAGCCCCUCGCACUCCCAGAUUUCAGGAAACUGUCUAUGAAUGGAGAGAUAAGGCACAGCCUCCAAAAACAGAAAGCACAGACCAAGAAUAUUUAAAUUUCAAUUAAACCUAAUUAAAUUUAUGUUUUUGAAAAGAAAUAAGAAACCAACUUCCAGAAGAACAGAAGCAUUUCAGAAAACAGGGGUUGAGCCAAAAGCUGUGGUCACAGAUAGAAGAGAGUGAAAAAUCAAGGGCAUAUGGAUAUCCACUUGUUCCAGAACUAUAUUUAUGGAAAAGACCAUGUUUUCUCUACUAAAUUGCAUUUAUAUUUUUGCCAAAAAUCAGUUGUCCAGACCUAGAGUAGCCAAAACAAUCUUGAAAAAUAACAAAGUUGGAGGACUCACACUUCACAGUUUCAAAAUUUACUACAAAUCUGCAGCAAUCAAGACUGUGUUGUGUGGUACUGGUAAAGACAGACUUAUAUCAACAGCAUCGAAUUUGAGAAUCCAGAAGUACAAUCUCACAUUUAAGAUCAGUUGAUUUUCUGUAAUGAUGCCAAGAUCAUUCAAUGGAGGGAAAAAACAGGAUCUUCAACAAAUGGUAUUUGGGGCAACUGGAUAUCUACAUGCAAAAGAAUGAAGUUGGACCCCUGACAUAUCGUGUAAAAACAUUAACUCAAAAUGAGCCAAAGACCCGAAUGUAAGCGCUAAAACUAUAAAACUUUGAGAAGAAA